rnacentral:rRNA from 1 species
CCUACGGGGGGCAGCAGUGGGGAAUAUUGCGCAAUGGGCGAAAGCCUGACGCAGCGACGCCGCGUGAGGGAUGAAGGUCUUCGGAUCGUAAACCUCUGUCAGCAGGGAAGAACAGUCACUGUGCUAAUCAGCAGUGAAUUGACGGUACCUGCAAAGGAAGCACCGGCUAACUCCGUGCUAGCAGCCGCGGUAAUACUGAGGGUGCGAGCGUUAAUCGGAAUUACUGGGCGUAAAGCGCUCGUAGGCGGUAUGGCAAGUCAGGGGUGAAAUCCCGGCGCUCAACGUGGGAACUGCCUUUGAAACUGGCAAACUGGAGUGUGGGAGAGGAUAGUGGAAUUCCAGGUGUAGGAGUGAAAUCCGUAGAUAUCUGGAGGAACAUCAGUGGCGAAGGCGACUAUCUGGAACAUAACUGACGCUGAGGAGCGAAAGCGUGGGUAGCAAACAGGAUUAGAUACCCCAGUAGUC